AAAAAUUCUAUGAAAAGUAAUGGAUUUAAUUUGAACUUAUAAAAUCUUCAGUUAUAUCACAAGAUUUACAUUCUUCAUGAUAUGCUUCAUCUUCUCAAAACGAGCUCUUGCCUCGAAUACUCAAUAUAAGAGAAGAGGAGAAAAAAAGGAAAUAAAAUUUUUCUAUAAUUUAGGAUAUGAAAUUCUUGUAUUUCUUAUAAUUCUCUCAAAGAGAAACGACGGAAAUAUUCAGUCCAAGGACAGAACGGACUCUAUAGAGUUUCUAUUCCUUGGUUGUAGUCUUGGACCUCCUAGAUAGCUUAGAGGAUUGCCGAAAGUCCGACAAUCAUCCGACAGAUAGAUAGGGCUCAUGUUCAGGACCAAAGGUUUUCUGGUAUCUACAAAAUCAACAAAGAAGACAAAAAAAAAGAGGGAGAGAAUAAUUACUAUUGUCUUGCUGCCAUGAAGGAGAACGAAAGAGAGAGAGAGAGAGAGAGAGAGAGAGAAAGAGAGAGAGAGAGAGAGAGAGAGAGAGAGAGAGAGAGAGAAGCAUGUAUAAAAAAGGAUAUAUGAAUUUGCAUUAAAGUUCUCUAAGGUCUCUCAAAUUAAUCUCAUUGAAAAAGUUCAGAAAGGUAUAAAAUUUCUCAAUUCGUGUAUAUGUAGACAUUUUUUUACAACGUUGUCUUUAUGAUUACAUGGCUGCUCUGAACGAUCCUUCAAGAGUUCUGUUUUGUUCAUUGAAAAAUUAUUGCUGUUGAAAAUAUAGCGAUUAAUAGCCAACGAUUUUUUUUCCUUUAUUUUUCUUUUUUUUUUCACGGCAACAACUUCGAAUUAAUCCCUCAUGCUCUUAACUCACCUGAAAUUCCCUUGUACCUUGCGAUUUUUUAUUUCUUUUUCUUUUUUUUUUUUAAGCCGAACGACACUCUUCGCGGCAGUUCAUUUUUCAAUCAUUGUCAUUCUUACAUCAGAGAUUUCUCGCUUGAGAAAAAUUGUUUACAACAAUUUUGCGAUUACGGCGUUUUUUUACCUUGUGAAAAAUGUUUACAUAUAUAGAGAAAGAAAGAGAAAGAGAGAGAGAACGACUAUGAUAAAAAGAGAUAGUAGUUUAAACUUUUUGAUAUAAGUAGUUCAGAAAAUGAAAAUUAGGAGACCUUAGAAUCUGAGUGUACUUCGUACAUAUAAAGUGAUGGAUGAAGAAAAAGAAGAAAAUGACGAUGAUGAUGAUGAUGAUGAUGAUGAUGAUGAUGAUGAUGAUGAUGAUCACACUGACCUGUCGACGUCGGCGAACGUUCAGGGGCUUUCGAACGUUGUCCAGUGUUAUUGUCCAUGCUAGCCUAUACACAUAUAAUGAAUAUUCCCUUUAAACAUAUCUUUUCCUUUGCAAACUAAUAUUUCCAUAAUAGGAACAACGUGGAUGCGAUUAAUCAAUCCUUGCCACGAUGCUAGAUACAAGAAACGACGAAAUUUCGUUUGCCUUCAUGAUUAGUUCUUGGUUAGUUAAAAUUUAAUGAAAAAUGA